UCUUGUCCCCAUCCUAUCCCCUCCCCUUGCCGCCCCUUCUUCAUUGGAUGACCAGAUGCACAACCACAUAUGUUUUUUAAUUCAGGCUCAUAGGGUCUAGAUUUGAAUGUAAAACUACCUGACUUUACCAUUAACAGAUUGGAAGCACGAUUAUCGCUGCAAUUUUUUUAGUCAUGGCAUAUUUUCUCUUAUAUGUGUUUGUUGAUGAUUAAUCAUCAAAGGUUAUACGCGUGUUUCGUCCCAAGCACAAGUCCUUCUUUCACAUAUCCCUUUUGUCAUAUGUCUUCUUGAUGCAAAGAGGCUCAGCUUGCUACUGAUGGAUUGCAGCUUACCAAAUUUGAUUUGGUUUGGUACAAUGGAUGUUUGGUAUUGAUGUUGAAAGAAUACUUCACUUUCUGUAAUUUCUGAUGUUCAGAUUAUACCGAAUGAAUGCUACCAGAUUCCAUAUUUGUUCUAGAGAUAUUAUUGAUCUUUUCAUGCACCAAUUGUUCAAGUAGUGUCUUUCUGCUAAAAGCUUUAUAUUGCCCUGUGUGUCCUUUUGUCCGUACCUUUUUCCAGUAAUUUUCUCUGUUAACCUUGGGCCAGCUCAUUUGUGUGUGCUUCAUGUAUAUGCUCAUGCUUUUGAUGCUGCUGGACUUUGGAAUGCAUCCGCACAGUAACUUUCUGGGUAUGCUUGCAUUCAGGUUGUCAUUAGUUACGAGAUGGUACAUCAGUGUCUCCACUCUAGAGAUGAAUAUAAUACGCCAAAAGUAAGUGUCUGAUCCCAGCUUCUUUUAUUGUGGAUUGUGGGUACGGUGAGCAAUACAUUGAUUCACAAGUACGUCUUGCAGCACAGAAAUUAUUCCGUUCAAAGUGAAUUACACGGCAUAAAUCAAACAUGCGCUGAGCCUACUAAUGCGACUACCAGUACUGUUGCACUACUAGAACCCAAUGGCAUGAUGGUGCAGCAAAUAUGGUUUUUUAUUAGAUAGUUUUCUGCACUGUAUAUGUGAUGAAUUCACAAAUUUAUGAUUUUGAGGUACUGGUGAAGGUAGAUUCAAAUGAGUGAUGCAAAUUCAGAAUUGCAUAGGUAGUGCCUACGACUGACUAAGGGUACAUGAGUUGGAAGAAAGUCCAAGCAGAAGGAACUCCUACAGAUGCCCAGGCUGCUACUGUGCCUAUCUUAAGGGUGAUCUUGACCUGAUUUUGCUUUCGAACUGAAUUGUGGUAAUCAAGCAGGGAGACGAGACGUUGUUGAGCUGUUUUUCGGUAGAUUUGAGCUACCUAGAGUUGAGCUAGGCACCAGACGAGCAGAAGCACAAACGUAGGAGGUAUCCAACAACGACAACCGCAACGCCAUUCCACUUAAACCUGGAGACCAGAGAAAGGAUGCGGUACCACUGCUCUUCUUUCUCCUUACUAAAUCUCUGAAAAGGGAUGCUCAUAUAAUUACUAAUAAUUUAGUUGCAAGUCUUCUGUAAGAGCCUUGAUGUACUUUAUCUCAUGGUUUGGGUUGUGAAAGAAUUUUGGAAGGACCACAAGGUAGUCUUCAGUUCAGUUUGUCCAUUUAUAGUGUUGAUGUAUCUAGCUACUUGUAUCUGCUUUCUUUUGUUGUAAAAUGAAAUAGCAUUCUUGCUGAUCAAUGAAAUUAGAAAAUCAACAAACUACAUUGUUCCUUUUUUUCUUUUCUUUUUCUAUCCUUGAAGAUAUUUAAUGAUGUGAUCUGAAACUUUUAGUUUUGUUCUAUUAUGCAAAGUUAAGAGUUUUCGGGAUAAAAUUCUAAUUUGGGCCACUCUCUUUUUUACAAGAGUUCUAGGAAAAUUUACAUUGAAAUUUGUCACAUGCAAACUGGAGGAAGGGGCAAUAAGCAGAGAAUUCCCCUCAAGAUGUGAACCGCAUUGAUGCCCUCGGUAUGUGUGUUGCUACUGCUGAAUGAUGCUCCCUUGUCGUUGUUGCUAUAGUACGAUUUAGUACAGCUUGUCUAAAUGGGUUAGAAGAGGGGUUAUGAAAUGUUUUGUUGGAGUUUAAAUAUUCUUUCAUGUAUUAAACUGAUAAGUUGUGCACUUUUGCUGCUGUUAGAUAAACUGACUACUCUGUACUGUUGGAUAGCCAUGGUAUGUGUUAGUUUUAUUUUACCACAAAAGUUUCUUGGGAGUUGGGAUAUCAGGUGUAUUCAUUACUUUUCCUAGGAAUAUAUUCUAUUUUGGUGCACUGUAUAUCUAUCUAAUCUAUCUAUCCAAGUUUUCAAAGAAAUUGAUGGCGGCGGCUUGGCCGUGUCGUGGUGAAUGGCGAAGCUUCGAAACUGAACAUGAGAAAGGUGUUGACGCGCGGUUGGGAGACGUACAUACUUGAGGAAAUAUGAUUCAUAAGGUUUCAUAUUAACGAAAACUGAUAAUCUGAACAUUUUGUUUAUUCCUGGAUGACUUUAUUCUUCAAUAUGAAUAUGUAAGAAAAGAUAUGACAUACAUUUGUGUAAAUUGAUAAUGUAGGGUCAUCUCGAAACUUUAUUAUUUUUUCAAGAUUGAUUUACUUGGUGGUGUUAACUUCCAUUUUCUCGAAACAGGACAUGUGUUCUAUUUCUGAAAAAAGAAGCUUCUCUGUUAGCUAGCAUCCCCGACGGUACUUUUAGACUGGAUGUAGACCAGUAGGGUCAAUUAAAAAUUGUUGGCUAUAGAUGACUUUAAGUUUCUAGCUUUCAUAAAAUGUAGACGUGUACGUACUCUAACAGUAUGUCGUGGUUGAUGAUGGUCCUAUGUACUGGUUGAAAUUAUCAUGUUGGAUAAUAUUGCUUA